AUUUUUAAUUUCAACUAUUUCAAUUCACUCUCUGCCAAUCUCACCCACUUUUUCCAAUGGCAAUUCAACCCAGUUCUUGCAAUCCUUCACUCAUCAAGUUCGGAUUGGCUUUGAUCGCCAUCUCCAUUGCCGGUUACAUUAUCGGCCCUCCUCUCUAUUGGCACUUCAAGGAAGGUUUAGCCGUCGUUAGCCACUCUUCUUCUUCCUCAUGCCCUCCUUGUUUCUGCGACUGCCCUUCUCAGCCUGUCAUCUAUUCCCGAAGAAUUGAGGAACUCUACCUUUG
rnacentral:misc_RNA from 1 species